rnacentral:tRNA from 1 species
GCCGCAGUAGCUCAGCCGGUAGAGCAGCGCAUUCGUAAUGCGCGGGUCGGGAGUUCGAGUCUCUCCUGCGGCACCA